rnacentral:rRNA from 1 species
CACGUAGGGUGCGAGCGUUGUCCGGAUUUAUUGGGCGUAAAGAGCGUGUAGGCGGCCAGGUAGGUCUGCUGUGAAAACUCGAGGCUCAACCUCGAGACGUCGGCGGAAACCAUCUGGCUAGAGUCCGGAAGAGGAGAGUGGAAUUCCUGGUGUAGCGGUGAAAUGCGCAGAUAUCAGGAAGAACACCCGUGGCGAAGGCGGCUCUCUGGGACGGUACUGACGCUGAGACGCGAAAGCGUGGGGAGCGAACAGG